GCCGGCUUGGCAGAAUCUGGUAAAAGCAUGGCGACCAUGUCGCUAGGCGACCAUUGCGCUCGCCUCGAGAGCGAGUGUGACGCAAGAUAAAUGCAACAAGCAUUUAGUGGACUCACACGCAGGUUCGAAUCCUGCAGCCGGCG
rnacentral:tRNA from 1 species